GAGACUGCAAAGUUUGUUGGUUCUGCUUCAACUCUGCCAACUCUGCCUGAUGGCGAUCCUUCAUAUCUUCAAUUAUUGCCCGAAGUCUACUAACUUCUGCAUUGCUACUGCCUUCUCCAGCAUUUCUUGUAUACAUGCCCACUGCAGACAACUGAGUAGGGGUAACUCCAACGCCAUAACCCCUCACUCUACCAUAACGCUCUGGGCCCAAUAAUUCAGCGAGCACCUGAGCUUCGACAUGACUGGUCGCGUCGGAUGAUGAUGACUCCCCGACGCGCUCUGAAAUAAG
rnacentral:lncRNA from 1 species